GAUGAAGAACGCAGCGAAAUGCGAUAAGUAAUGUGAAUUGCAGAAUUCAGUGAAUCAUCGAAUCUUUGAACGCACAUUGCGCCCGCCAGUAUUCUGGCGGGCAUGCCUGUUCGAGCGUCAUUUCAACCAUCAAGCCCCAGGCUAGUGUUGGGGACCUGCGGCUGCCGCAGGCCCUGAAAACCAGUGGCGGGCUCGCUGUCACACCGGGCGUAGUAGAUUUUAUCUCGCUCAGGGCGUGCUGCGGGUUCCGGCCGUUAAAAAGCCUUUUUUACCCAAGGUUGACCUCGGAUCAGGUAGGAAGACCCGCUGAACUUAAGCAUAUCAAUAAGCGGAGGA
rnacentral:misc_RNA from 1 species